GCAAAAACGAUGAGAAAGGAAAGUACAUUCAACGACCGUUUCCAGAGAGUUUGUGGCCGGUGCGAACAAACAACGGGGUUGAAUGGAAUGGGCUUUCGAGUCCCGACCGAACGGAUGCGGGCGGCAUCCCAGUAGGAAAGGGCGUCCCCUUACGUUAUAAGGGUCGAGUUCACUCGGCAAAGCGACCGUUUUUACGGUAACGAGGGUGGCACCGCGGAUGACUGACCAUUCGUCCCUUUU
rnacentral:ncRNA from 1 species